rnacentral:rRNA from 1 species
AUGGUGGUAACGGGUAACGGGGUGUUAGGGCACGACACCGGAGAGGGAGCCUGAGAAACGGCUACCACAUCCAAGGAUGGCAGCAGGCGCGCAAAUUACCCAAUCCCGACACGGGGAGGUAGUGACAAUAAAUAACAAUACGGGGUUCUUUCGGAUCUCGUAAUUGGAAUGAGUACAAUUUAAAUCUCUUAACGAGGAACAAUUGGAGGGCAAGUCUGGUGCCAGCAGCCGCGGUAAUUCCAGCUCCAAUAGCGUAUAUUAAAGUUGUUGCAGUUAAAAAGCUCGUAGUUGAAUUUCGGGAUCAGUUGGUCGGUCGUGCCUCGGUACGUACUGGUCAAAUUGAUUCCUACCUUCUGACGAACCACGAUGUCAUUAAUUUGGUGUCGCGGGAAAUCAGGACUGUUACUUUGAAAAAAUUAGAGUGUUUAAAGCAGGCUCGCGCUUGAAUACAUUAGCAUGGAAUAAUGAAAUAGGACGUUUGAUUCUAUUUUGUUGGUUUCUAGGAUCGACGUAAUGAUUAAUAGGGAUAGUUGGGGGCAUUAGUAUUCAAUUGUCAGAGGUGAAAUUCUUGGAUUUAUUGAAGACUAACUACUGCGAAAGCAUUUGCCAAGGAUGUUUUCAUUAAUCAAGAACGAAAGUUAGGGGAUCGAAGACGAUCAGAUACCGUCGUAGUCUUAACCAUAAACUAUGCCGA